rnacentral:rRNA from 1 species
CCUACGGGGUGCAGCAGUAGGGAAUUUUCGGCAAUGGGGGGAACCCUGACCGAGCAACGCCGCGUGAACGAAGAAGUUAUUCGUAAUGUAAAGCUCUAUCAGCAGGGAAGAAAAUGACGGUACCUGACUAAGAAGCCCCGGCUAACUACGUGCCAGCAGCCGCGGUAAUACGUAGGGGGCAAGCGUUAUCCGGAUUUACUGGGUGUAAAGGGAGCGUAGACGGCGCUGCAAGUCCGGAGUGAAAGCCCAUGGCUUAACCAUGGUACUGCUCUGGAAACUGUGGAGCUUGAGUGCGGGAGGGGCAGGCGGAAUUCCUAGUGUAGCGGUGAAAUGCGUAGAUAUUAGGAGGAACACCGGCGGCGAAGGCGGCCUGCUGGACCGUAACUGACGUUGAGGCUCGAAAGCGUGGGGAGCAAACAGGAUUAGAUACCCUUGUAGUC